rnacentral:rRNA from 1 species
CCUACGGGCGGCUGCAGUGAGGAAUAUUGGUCAAUGGGCGGGAGCCUGAACCAGCCAAGUCGCGUGAGGGAAGACGGUCCUAUGGAUUGUAAACCUCUUUAGGCGGGGAGCAAUGCCGGGCACGCGUGCCCGGAGGGAGAGUACCCGCAGAAUAAGCAUCGGCUAACUCCGUGCCAGCAGCCGCGGUAAUACGGAGGAUGCGAGCGUUGUCCGGAUUUAUGGGGUUUAAAGGGUGCGUAGGCGGAUUUUUAAGUCAGCGGUAAAAUGUCCGGGCUCAACCCGGGCCGGCCGUUGAAACUGGGGAUCUUGAGUGGGCGAAAAGUAUGCGGAAUGCGUGGUGUAGCGGUGAAAUGCAUAGAUAUCACGCAGAACUCCGAUUGCGAAGGCAGCAUACCGGCGCCCGACUGACGCUGAGGCACGAAAGCGUGGGGAUCGAACAGGAUUAGAUACCCCUGUAGUC